GGGCCACAGCUCAGUGGUAGAGCAUCUGCCUUGCAUGCAGACGCCUCGGGUUCAAUAUCCAACAUCUCCA